rnacentral:ribozyme from 1 species
UAAACUUUCUGGUUUUCUUCCAAAGUUUUAUUUAUUGAUUUUUGUUUUCAAGUUUCUUUUUGUUGUUGGACAACAUAAAAUAAAAUGCGAAGGUUUGGCGAAGGCG